rnacentral:tRNA from 1 species
CGGAGAAUGGCUCAGCUUGGUAGAGCACUACGCUUGGGACGUAGGGGUCGCAGGUUCGAAUCCUGUUUCUCCGACCA